rfam:Ictidomys tridecemlineatus contig003608, whole genome shotgun sequence.
GGGGUUGUGGCUCAGCGGUAGAGCGUUCGCCUCGCACGUGCAAGAUCCUGGGUUCGAUCCUCAGCACCA